rnacentral:tRNA from 1 species
GCCCCUGUAGCUCAGUGGAGUAGAGCACCAGGUUCCGAACCUGGGGGUCGCUGGUUCGAAUCCAGUCGGGGGUA